UACGAAGGGGGGCUAGCGUUGUUCGGAAUUACUGGGCGUAAAGCGCACGUAGGCGGACCUGCAAGUCGGGGGUGAAAGCCCGAGGCUCAACCUCGGAACUGCCUUCGAUACUGCGGGUCUCGAGUCCGGGAGAGGUGAGUGGAAUUCCUAGUGUAGAGGUGAAAUUCGUAGAUAUUCGCAAGAACACCAGUGGCGAAGGCGGCUCACUGGCCCGGUACUGACGCUGGAGGUGACGAAAGCGUGGGGAGCAAACAGG
rnacentral:rRNA from 1 species